CAGCAGCCGCGGGAACACGUAGGGGGCAAGCGUUAUCCGGAAUUACUGGGUGUAAAGGGAGCGUAGACGGUUAAACAAGUCUGAAGUGAAAUGCCGGGGCUCAACCCCGGAGCUGCUUUGGGAACUGUAGAACUGGAGUGUCGGAGGGGUAAGCGGAAUUCCCAGUGUAGCGGCGAAAUGCGUAGAUAUUGGGAGGAACACCGGCGGCGAAGGCGGCUUACUGGACGACAACUGACGUUGAGGCUCGAAGGCGUGGGUAGCAAACUGGAUUAGAUACCCCGGUAGUCCCUGUCUCUUAUAC
rnacentral:rRNA from 1 species